rnacentral:rRNA from 1 species
AAAUUGAAGAGUUUGAUCAUGGCUCAGAUUGAACGCUGGCGGCAGGCCUAACACAUGCAAGUCGAACGGUAACAGAAAGCAGCUUGCUGCUUUGCUGACGAGUGGCGGACGGGUGAGUAAUGUCUGGGAAACUGCCUGAUGGAGGGGGAUAACUACUGGAAACGGUAGCUAAUACCGCAUAAUGUCG